CAGUGCUCCCAGUAAGAGCGGCACUGGCAGGGAAAGCGCUCCCAGUUCCUUAACGCUGCUCUCAGGAUCGCUCUCGGUGCUCCCAGGAUCGCUCCCAGUGCCGCGCGGGACGGGCCCGCUGUGAAACCCGCCCAGGUCAGAGCGCGGCUGCUUUGGGGGGUCUGCAUAGCCCGGGCCGGGCUGGGAGCGGAGGAGGAGUGGGAGGAAGAGGAGCGACAGAGGAGGAGGAGGAAGAGCAGCACCAACACCCCGCGGUUUCCCCGCUCAGCCCGCCGCUCUCCCGGAUCCGCCAGCAUCGCCCGCUCAGCCGGAACCCGCAGGAUUCGUUAUUCCCAAACCUUGGCAGGAUGAAAAAGGAGGAGGCCAUGAGGAAGAGAAAGAUGGCCCGGGAGCCCCAGGCAGACCAGGAGCUGAGGAUGGAGAGCAGGGAGGACAAAUCCCCACAGCAGAACCUCGUGGAAGAGGCUGUUUUGUGCAGCUCCACAGCGCAGGAACCCAAUGGGGAAGAAAAGCCCCGGAGAUCCCGCAUGAGGAGGGGCUG